rnacentral:sRNA from 1 species
CAACCUUGGAGGGAUGGGGACAUAAAUAGAAAUUGUACCAAGGACCCCUGUGAACUAUGGGGCUUUCUGAUGUCCUUUGUUGGGUGGGUGAAAGGCUGGAUCUGGUGAGGUUUCUGGAGACUUGUCUUGGACAUGUUCCCUGUAAUUUGUUGUCUCCCCUGACCAGGGCAUACCGUGGACAAAGGUGGACUACUUUGAUAAUGGCAUCAUUUGUAAGCUCAUUGAGCAUAAUCAGCAAGGUAUCCUGGCCAUGCUGGAUGAGGAGUGCCUGCGGCCUGGGGUGGUCGGUGACUCCACUUUCCUAGCAAAGCUGAACCAGCUCUUCUCCAAGCAUGGCCACUACGAGAGCAAAGUCACCCAGAAUGCCCAGCGUCAGCAUGACCACACCAUGGGCCUCAGCUGCUUCCGCAUCUGCCACUAUGCGGGCAAGGUGACAUACAAUGUGACCAGCUUUAUUGACAAGAAUAAUGACCUACUCUUCCGAGACCUGUCACAGGCCAUGUGGAAGGCCCAGCACCCCCUCCUUCGGUCCUUGUUUCCUGAGGGCAAUCCUAAGCAGGUGUCUCUCAAACGCCCCCCGACUGCUGGGGCCCAGUUCAAGAGUUCUGUGGCCAUCCUCAUGAAGAACCUG